UACAUGCUCUUCUCAUUAAAC
ensembl:piRNA 21ur-4558 ncRNA